UGCGUAGGUGGCGCCGUAAGUGGGGUGUGAAAUUUCGGAGCUUAACUCCGAAACUGCAUUCCAUACUGCGGUGCUUGAGGACUGGAGAGGAGACUGGAAUUCAUGGUGUAGCAGUGAAAUGCGUAGAGAUCAUGAGGAAGACCAGUGGCGAAGGCGGGUCUCUGGACAGUUCCUGACACUGAGGCACGAAGGCCAGGGGAGCAAACG
rnacentral:rRNA from 1 species